rnacentral:rRNA from 1 species
UGGGGAAUAUUGCACAAUGGGCGAAAGCCUGAUGCAGCGACGCCGCGUGAGGGAUGACGGCCUUCGGGUUGUAAACCUCUUUCAGUAGGGACGAAGCGCAAGUGACGGUACCUGCAGAAGAAGCACCGGCUAACUACGUGCCAGCAGCCGCGGUAAUACGUAGGGUGCGAGCGUUGUCCGGAAUUACUGGGCGUAAAGAGCUCGUAGGCGGAUUGUCACGUCGUCUGUGAAAUCCUAGGGCUUAACCCUGGACGUGCAGGCGAUACGGGCUGACUUGAGUACUACAGGGGAGACUGGAAUUUCUGGUGUAGCGGUGGAAUGCACAUAUAUCAGGAAGAACACCGAUGGCGAAGGCAGGUCUCUGGGUAGUAACUGACGCUGAGGAGCGAAAGCAUGGGUAGCGAACAGG